rnacentral:rRNA from 1 species
CAGUAGCCGCGGGAAAACAGAGGGUGCGAGCGUUAAUCGGAUUUACUGGGCGUAAAGCGUGCGUAGGCGGCUUUUUAAGUCGGAUGUGAAAUCCCUGAGCUUAACUUAGGAAUUGCAUUCGAUACUGGGAAGCUAGAGUAUGGGAGAGGAUGGUAGAAUUCCAGGUGUAGCGGUGAAAUGCGUAGAGAUCUGGAGGAAUACCGAUGGCGAAGGCAGCCAUCUGGCCUAAUACUGACGCUGAGGUACGAAAGCAUGGGGAGCAAACAGGAUUAGAUACCCCGUAGUCCCUGUCUCUUAUACA